CACGGCGCACGGGUGCGUAACACGUGGGCAAUCUGCCCUCCGAUGGGGAAUAACCCCGCGAAAGCGGGGCUAAUUCCGCAUAACAUUCCCUUCGGCAAAGCCGCGUCGGUGGAGGAGCCCGCGCCCGAUUAGCUAGUUGGUGAGGUAAUGGCUCACCAAGGCAAUGAUCGGUAGCUGGUCUGAGAGGAUGGCCAGCCACACUGGAACUGAGACACGGUCCAGACUCCUACGGGAGGCAGCAGUGGGGAAUCUUGCGCAAUGGGCGAAAGCCUGACGCAGCGACGCCGCGUGGGGGAUGAAGCUUCUCGGAGUGUAAACCCCUUUCGACUGGGACGAAUGACGGUACCAG
rnacentral:rRNA from 1 species